rnacentral:lncRNA from 1 species
UGUUGGGAGGAAGCGAAAACAACCAUUGUCCACGAGGAUAUAACUCAGUGGGGAAUGCGGAAGGAAAGAUAAACACUUUCUGCUUAAGGGGCUGACUCUACAUUGAGGGAUCAGACACCGACAUCUGCUUGGAAAUAUAUUACCAACUAGCAGAGGAUAACAAACAAAAGAUAUAUGGCAAGAAAUGCAAUAUGAAUAUCCAAA